rnacentral:rRNA from 1 species
UACGAAGGGAGCUAGCGUUGUUCGGAAUCACUGGGCGUAAAGCGCACGUAGGCGGAUGUGUCAGUCAGGGGUGAAAUCCCGGAGCUCAACUUCGGAACUGCCUUUGAUACAGCACGUCUUGAGUCCGAUAGAGGUGGGUGGAAUUCCUAGUGUAGAGGUGAAAUUCGUAGAUAUUAGGAAGAACACCGGUGGCGAAGGCGGCCCCACUGG